CACGUAGGGGGCGAGCGUUGUCCGGAUUUAUUGGGCGUAAAGAGCUCGUAGGUGGCCUGUCGCGUCGGCUGUGAAAACUCGGGGCUCAACUCCGAGCUUGCAGUCGAUACGGGCAGGCUAGAGUUCGGCAGGGGAGACUGGAAUUCCUGGUGUAGCGGUGAAAUGCGCAGAUAUCAGGAGGAACACCGGUGGCGAAGGCGGGUCUCUGGGCCGAUACUGACACUGAGGAGCGAAAGCGUGGGGAGCGAACAGG
rnacentral:rRNA from 1 species